UGAUUUUGUUUUAAAGGGUCCGAGAGUCU
rnacentral:piRNA from 1 species